rnacentral:rRNA from 1 species
GGACGAACGCUGGCGGCGUGCUUAACACAUGCAAGUCGAACGGUAAGGCCCCUUCGGGGGUACACGAGUGGCGAACGGGUGAGUAACACGUGGGUGACCUGCCCUGUACUUCGGGAUAAGCCUGGGAAACUGGGUCUAAUACCGGAUAUGACCUUCCUCCGCAUGGGGGUUGGUGGAAAGCUUUUGCGGUACAGGAUGGGCCCGCGGCCUAUCAGCUUGUUGGUGGGGUAAUGGCCUACCAAGGCGACGACGGGUAGCCGGCCUGAGAGGGCGACCGGCCACACUGGGACUGAGACACGGCCCAGACUCCUACGGGAGGCAGCAGUGGGGAAUAUUGCACAAUGGGCGAAAGCCUGAUGCAGCGACGCCGCGUGAGGGAUGACGGCCUUCGGGUUGUAAACCUCUUUCAGUAGGGACGAAGCGCAAGU